rnacentral:rRNA from 1 species
GCCCAGUGAACAAUUAAACGGCCGCGGUACCCUAACCGUGCAAAGGUAGCAUAAUCAUUUGUCUAUUAACUGUAGACCUGUAUGAAAGGCAAAAUGAGGGUUUAACUGUCUCUUAUAAUAAAUCUAUUAAACUGAUCCCCCAGUAAAAAAGCUGGGAUACCCCCAUAAGACCAGAAGACCCUGUGAAGCUUUAACUAAACUAUUAAACCAAAUAAUAACUACUUUAGGUUGGGGCGACCUUGGAAAAAAAAAGAACUUCCAACAUAACAAAUAACCACCAAGGCCUACAAGCCAAUUAACGACCCAGUAACACUGACAAUUGAACUAAGUUACUCCAGGGAUAACAGCGCCAUCUUCUUCAAGAGCCCAUAUCAAAAAGAAGGUUUACGACCUCGAUGUUGGAUCAGGACACCCCAAUGGUGCAACCGCUAUUAAAGGUUCGUUUGUUCAACGAUUAAUGUCCUACGUGAU